CCUACGGGUGGCAGCAGUCGAGAAUCAUUCACAAUGGGGGAAACCCUGAUGGGGCGACGCCGCGUGGGGGAAUGAAGGUCUCCGGAUGGUAAACCCCUUUCAUGGGGGAGCAAAUUAAAAAGAUAGUACCACAAGAGGAAGAGACGGCUAACUCUGUGCCAGCAGCCGCGGUAAUACAGAGGGUGCAAGCGUUGUUCGGAAUUACUGGGCGUAAAGGGUGCGUAGGCUGUUUCGUAAGGCGUGUGUGAAAGGCGCGGGCUCAACCCGCGGACGGCACAUGAUACUGCGAGAGUAGAGUAAUGGAGAGGGAACCGGAAUUCUCGGUGUAGCAGUGAAAUGCGUAGAUA
rnacentral:rRNA from 1 species